rnacentral:lncRNA from 1 species
AGCACCGACCGAAACCGCCACGAAAAGUGCAAAAGCGUGCGCUAUCGCCUCAGCAAUUAGGCCAGUUGGCGUGGUCGAUCCAUUGUUUGUAAGCUUUGCUGUGGAAAAAGUCAAAAUCCCAAUGAUUUAAUUCUCGAAUUCUAACAACUUAAACUUUUAAAUGAAUUUGUACAGGAUAACUACUUACCGAAAGCCAUGCCAGAACCUUCACCAGCAAAAACAAAAAUCAACAUCGAAAUGAACUCGGCCAGGGUGGCCUUGAGGGCUUCCGGCUGACUAGCCUCGGCCAGAGAUCCGACAGCUAUUCUCGAAAUCGGCAUUUUUCUUCAAAAUUUUAACCUUAAAAACUCAAAAGAAAGCCAAUAAGCUGCCCGCCUUUACCUCUUUGUUUAGCUUAUUACACUGGUCUCAUUUAACAACAGCAGCUAUGUAUAGUGGACUAAGACAUCACAUGGCCCUUUAUUGGAUGCCACUUAGAAUUGUCCGUAAUGGGGCCGCCAAAAUAUUGUGGAGUUGCCACGUGGCAAUUUGGAUGAAGAAAAUCUAUAGCCAGCCAAUUAUAGUGUAGAAUGAUGAGAGCAAUGGAAAAUUCUGGUAGGCGACCAAAAGUACAAAUGAUUAAUCAUAAUUAGAUUAAAGCGACCGUUUCUUGAUUAUUAGUCUAGCUGAGCUUGUGAUUAUGACCUUCCUAUUGUUUAGCACAAGUGUAGAUAAUCUCUAAGAGUCUGAACAACACUCUUGCCGAUCUAUGAACGAGUAAAUUUGAUAGAAACUAGUACAAGGUGUAGUGAAUGUAAUUUCAUAAAGGAUUUUGAGGACGAAAGUGAGUAUAAAAACAAUUAUAAUUCUCUCUCUCUCUCUCUCUCUCUCUCUCUCUCUCUCUCUCUCUCUCUGUGCAUAUAUAGAUCAACGAAAUUUAGUAGCAUAGCAUGUAUUCAUCACGCGGAGAUUUUCUCUAUAGAUUCUGAAAUUUAACUUUGGUCUACAAUCUCCGUGCUUAUAAAAUAUAUACAGCUUCCAACCGACUCCAUAUUGUCUUUGUUAAAAUUAUGCAGAUCAUAAACAUGGUCUAUAUUUUCAUUUGGAGAAUUACUGGUUUUACACUUAAAAAGAUUGGUUUUCCAAUUGUUAUGUUUCCUUAAGAGAUUUAUGAAAUAUCUUCUCAUUCAUCCCAUUAGGCUAGUUGUAUUUUCUUCACAUAUAAAGACUUGACAACGUACUCAAACUUUUCGCUGUUCAUUUUCUGUGCAGGCUCUGCUUCUUAGCUAUCCAUUUUUGUGGUCGAAGCUUUACCUUCACUUAUUCAAUCAACGACGGUCAAAACUGGGUAAAUACAAAAAUAAGCAAAACUGAACUUGUACAGCCAUGUUAAGGCACGGCAAAACCGGCGCCAUGCCUGUAGAGAAAGUGGGCUGGGAAGGGGCUUGCUGUGCAUGCUCAGGCAGCUCAGCCCGGCUUACUUAAGAGUUAUCAGGCAAUUCUUCUUGGUCUGUGGAUUGUCAUCACGGAAUCUGUCAAUUUAUUAAAGAUUGUUUAUCUAUAGUCAGAAUAAGAACAUGGACAAAGGAAAAAUGUCUUUUAUGUGAAAUCUAGACAUGGUUAGACUUGUAGUUUAAGAAGUUAUUUGGCAGUGUUUUUCUGAUGAAUUUUAGCCUAGGUGCGUAUCCAAUGGGCGUUUAGGACGUGAAAAAUUACACUUGCACAGUCGUAAUUUCAUAUUUGGUAACGUAAACUAAGCAAAGCUUGACAUGAUUAAAAAAGGUAGUUGAAAAUUUGUCUAUUGUGCUUCCAUAACCCAUCUGUAUGGUGCAUUAACCUGAACUAUACGAACUUCUCGGUCAAAAUGUUUAAUAAGGAAAAAUUGAUGAUAUUGGAGAACAUCAAAUAAGAAAACUUGAAUUCCAAAGAAGCAAGACAAACGAUAACAUCAAUUAAAAGCCCGAGGCUUUAAAUGGGCAUUAGAAAAUGAAAACAAACAUUGCACAUAGUUCCUAAAACUUGAUGAAAGCAGAGAUGGAUUCUUAGUAUUCUGCACUAGUACGGAGUUGUUCAUGGCUUUGGUUAAUGAACAAGAUUUCAUAGAUCAGAGCAGCAAUUCCAGCACCGACAAACGGGCCGAGCCAGAAGACCCAGUGGCUGUCCCAUGUCCAGCUGACCACAGCAGGGCCAAAAGACACGGCGGGGUUCAUGGACGCACCAUCGAAGGCACCACCGGCUAAGAUGUUAGCGCCUACAAUGAAGCCAAUGGCAAUGGGGGCAAUGAUCCCUAAGUUACCCCUCUUUGGAUCCACUGCAGUAGCAUAAACUGUGUAAACGAGUCCAAAGGUCAUCACUAUCUCAAAAACAACUGCAUUCCAAACUGUCACUCCAGAUGAAAGUGCAAAAGCUGAUGUUUCCUGUAAACAAGAAUUGAACUUUAGCCUAUUUGUUAUAGUUAUGGACUCGACUUGACUGGAUAGUACAGUAAGAUUCAACUUACGAGUCCGCCUGUGGCUAACCUAAGAAGCAAGCAUGCAACAACAGAUCCAAGUAAUUGGGCUAUCCAGUACAGGAUGCUCCUAAUCAAUGUGAUGUGACCACCAACAAAGGCACCAAAGGUGACAGCAGGGUUUACGUGGCCGCCAGAGAUGUUAGCACCGACCGAAACCGCCACGAAAAGUGCAAAAGCGUGCGCUAUCGCCUCAGCAAUUAGGCCAGUUGGCGUGGUCGAUCCAUUGUUUGUAAGCUUUGCUGUGGAAAAAGUCAAAAUCCCAAUGAUUUAAUUCUCGAAUUCUAACAACUUAAACUUUUAAAUGAAUUUGUACAGGAUAACUACUUACCGAAAGCCAUGCCAGAACCUUCACCAGCAAAAACAAAAAUCAACAUCGAAAUGAACUCGGCCAGGGUGGCCUUGAGGGCUUCCGGCUGACUAGCCUCGGCC